CAUUUGAUAACUUAAGAUCAAGUAUAGGCCUUUUAAGCUUAAAAUAGUAGUUUACUUCAAAUGA
rnacentral:tRNA from 1 species